CCUACGGGAGGCAGCAGUGAGGAAUAUUGGACAAUGGAGGCAACUCUGAUCCAGCCAUGCCGCGUGCAGGAAGACGGCCCUAUGGGUUGUAAACUGCUUUUAUAUAGGAAGAAACCUUUUCACGUGUGAGAAGCUGACGGUACUAUAAGAAUAAGGACCGGCUAACUCCGUGCCAGCAGCCGCGGUAAUACGGAGGGUCCGAGCGUUAUCCGGAAUCAUUGGGUUUAAAGGGUCCGUAGGCGGGAAUCUAAGUCAGUGGUGAAAUCUUGCAGCUCAACUGUAAAAUUGCCAUUGAUACUGGAUUUCUUGAAUUAGUGUGAAGUGAUUAGAAUGUGUAGUGUAGCGGUGAAAUGCAUAGAUAUUACACAGAAUACCAAUUGCGAAGGCAGAUCACUAACACUAUAUUGACGCUGAGGGACGAAAGCGUGGGGAGCGAACAGGAUUAGAUACCCUGGUAGUCCACGCCGUAAACGAUGGAUACUAGCUGUUCGAUCUUCGGAUUGAGUGGCUAAGCGAAAGUGAUAAGUAUCCCACCUGGGGAGUACGUUCGCAAGAAUGAAACUCAAAGAAUUGACGG
rnacentral:rRNA from 1 species